GUUCUCUGUCGGCGGACGAGGCGGAGGGCAGCUGAGGGCUGCCCGCUUGCAAUUGUCCGCUUUCUCCAACUUCAGACGCGUUAAUUCGUUGGGGAUUGUGCUUCUCAAAGCCGGCCUCAGCGGGGCUACUGCUGAGCACCUGCGCUAGAGGCCGCCUGCGCGCGUGAGUGGAGGGGCGAUGGCCGCUCCGGUGCGGGUGCCCCCCAAGCCCCCGCGUUCCGUACGCCUUCGCGUGGGCGGUGGUAGUUGUGUAAAGCCCAGGCAUGUGGCCGUGAGCUGGUUAGCAGCAGAGAAGCUUGAGUGAGAAGAUGACCCGGUUUUCAAGCCUCUCCCAGGUAAGAGAGGCCUGCGGCAGUAAUGUCAGUGUUGAAGAGGAGGCCGAUGGUGUUUAAAGGACAAAUUUGCCUCAGUGUGGAUUCUGAUCGACCCAGCCCCCUACAAGCCUACGUUCUGUUCUGUGCUCCCAUGCUUUUCUGUGACUUUCUCACCAGGAUUAAGAUGUUGAGAAGGGGCUUUGGGCAUGCAGUCCUGUCAGAUGCUGCGCUUUCCCAACACGCAUUCCUCUCUUAGGCAAUCCCACAUGCUGACCGGAAAAAGAAGUGCCUACCACAGCUAUGACCGACUGUGAAACCUGCCAAAGUGAAUGCCUCCCACUGAGGAAGCCACUCAGACUCCAACUAAAAAUUAAAAUGGCUGUAAGGAAGGAAAAGGGAAGACUGUUUUUCCUCAUGAACUCUUCCCCCCCUCAGGAUACUCCUGGUAGAAGCAAGGCAAACUGAAUUAAAAACUUUCAUACCUAGGGACAAGAAAAGGUUGUAGGAAUAAUACUGUUACUUGCACUGGUUUUUACCUUAUUAGAGACAUUUAACUUCUGUAGCAAAUUUUUUUUUGUACCCCUUUAGUUUAGAAAUUUAAAGGAUUGAUAUUAGUUUUAGAAAUAGUUGUCCUUUAUAAUAACUAUCACACAUACCUGAGGAUUUUUUUUAAACAUAUCUUUUUAAUCAAGAUUUUACUAUCAUCUUCUUUACGUAUGCUUGGGGAAAACUGUUUAAAGUGGUUCUUCCAGUGCAGUGUCCAAUUCUGAAAACGCUACUUUUUAAAGCCACUGUGAAGUAAGAUCAGCAACUGUCAACAUACAACAUUCCCUGUCCUCUCAUAUUAGCCAGUUAGUUUCAAUUAGGUGAGGUCAGCACUCCUGUGGAUAUACUGACUAAUCUCUAAGCCCAGAGCAACUUCUGUUGUUUCUUUCACCCAGCCCUUCAGGGGGGGUUCCGGGGAGCCUGAACCAACAGGCACACGCUCAGACAUCGGGUCUGUUACUCAGUGCCACCUGCGAGUCCACGGACUCCUCUAUUUGUCAGCUUAGGUGAGUCCUGACAGGGUGAUUUGCUUAAGAUUUGUUCUUAUUUUCCACAUUCUAUUUUGCAGUCUCUGUUCUUGCAGCUUUUAAGCAAAACAAAAUUUUCAAUCCCAUUUGUAAAUAACUAUCAGUAGUGCCGAGUGACAACUGCAAUGUACCUGGAAGUGCUUGUAUAUGCUAACCCUGUACUGUAUCUUCAAGGUCUUGCACUGGUUACAGUCUUCUUUCUUAAGGUACAAAAUGGGGGUGUUCUCAAGUUGUCAAAAUAACCUUGUGGUCUGAUUUGAAAUACUUGUAAUGUUCUAUCAUGUUCUGUCACAAUUACAGAGUAUUCCAUUUCAUGACACAGUACAUAAUAAAAAUCACUGUUGCUACAAUAUGCUGUGCAUUUAACAACAAAGAAAACGGAUUAGAGAGAUACAUUUUUGGAUCACUUGCUGGGGGAAGGCCUUUCUUUGUACAGUGCUAUCAAAAGGUACGAGUCUCUUGCUGAAUCUCGCAGUAUUAUCCAGUACAGAAGUUAAAUAUAAGUACUGGGUAAUAAGAGAGGCUGGAACAUUAAUUUUAAAAAUUCAACUUUUGACUAAACACCAACACUCUGUACUAAUGAAUUAGUACGCUAAGAAUUUUUAAAUUUCCUGUGCUUAAUAAAGCCAUGAUGGACAAAUGAUACCGACUAGAUAUCUGAAUAUUUUAUGAGAGAUCCAAGACAAGCAUUAGAAUAAGUAAAUGCUCAUUAUUUGUCUUCUCAGACUUUGAACUGACUUUUCAGUUAAACUUUUUAGGCUUUUCUUCUGCUUUUGUUUUAGGCUGUCGUAACAAACAGGUGCACUACAGUCAUUAGUUAUAAUAAAAAAAAGGAAAAAAAUCUCUGUAUUUUUUUCAGCAAGUAUCUGGACCAGAAAUUUGAGAUCAGGCAUGAAGCAUGUGGUCAAGAUAAGUAUUUAAAUUAAAUAGACUUUUUUUAAUACAUACAUUUUACGAUCUGUAGACCCAGAACUACUCAGUUAUCCAGUAAGUAGAUUCGAGGAAAACUAUUAUUUGUUCUCAAGGCAAUUCAGAAAAAGAGGAAAGAGCAGAUUAAACUGAGACAAAUAAACCCACUGCUGAACAAGAAAACUGAGACAAUACAAUUAAUGGAAUUCAACCUACACAUUUUCCAAUCCUUUUCACUUGUUACUACCUUAUGGCAAAGUACUUUGUUCAGGCCAAAGAUUAUAUAGGCUUUAUAAAAGAGCCCAUACAAAGACAGAGUGGAUCUGGAAAAACAACAGCAGUAACUUUUAUAGCAUCCAGUACUUCAACUAGUCAAUCAAACCAAAGUGCAAAAUGCAGCUAUCAGCUGGAAUACAAAAAGGAUCAGAAUGUAUAGAAGCAGUGAUGUGGUUAUUAAAGCAGAGGUACAUCUGGCACAUGUUGCAUAUAACACCAUUCACCACAGUAAGAAGUCUUCAGAUAUCACACGGCUCAAGUCGUCACCACCUACAUUUUUACCAUUUAAAAAGCGUUGGGAGUCAAGCAACAUCAGAAAUGCUGAUACCGAACAUUCAGCUUUUCACAACCGUACGAGUAAACAUCCUUGAAGCUCUGACUCAAUCAUACAGCCCAGGCUCCAGGUAGGCAUUACUACACAGGAGAGCAGCAUUUUCUUGAACUGCUGGGGCCAGACCUGUUUAUCUUAGCUGAAGCCACAGUACAGAUGAAGAGCUGUAUCAAGAACUUGAUGAUGGUAUAAAAGUCUGAAGGACUAGGACGUACCAUUCUGUGAAGAGGGAAGUUGAAAAGGUGAGAGCAGGAAAGUGGCAGCCAUCUGCCUUUUAAAAUAAAAGGGAAAAAAGUAUUUAAAGUGCUAGAGAAAUACAGAAGUGCACGCAUGGUAAAAAAGGAAGACAGGAAGAAAGAAAGCAGACGUGGCAGGCCAGAGUGUUGCUCACCCUCCUUGAAGAAGUAUUUGAUAAAAAGGGAACUGGAGAACUGUGUUAGCAGUAUUAUGAAGUUUUGCAGAUAAUUUGUAAAAUAUACCACCUGACACACUCCUCAUGAUAUCAGAAGGACUGUAUGAUGCACCAUGGAUUCACAACCCUGCCACAACAGUACUGGAAAAUAAGGAGGUUCCAAGUGAUUACUUACCGUUUGUGUCUAGAUGCGGGCAGUACAGCCUUGAAUUUUUACCUGUUCAAGUGGAAAGACUUUUCUCCAACUUAAAGACAUUUUAAUUACCACAAGACUCACAGUGAUAUGCAGAAACUCUUACAACCGUUAGCUAGCAUUUCUAAUUCUUACUGCUAAAGUUUCUUGUAAUUCCCUUUUCCUACGUUGCCAGAUUAUGUACUUAUACCACUAUACUGGAAAUGAUGUUCGGUAGAUAAAAAGAACAUUUAUUUUUCAUGUAAAGUCUCAAUGAUAAUUUAAAUCCUAUUUUUGAUAUGAAGGCAUUCAAAUAUCACAUAUUCUACAAUUAGCAAAGCCGUGAAUGUGGGUAAGUUAGGCUUGAUGUGGAUUUUGAAUCUUAACUUUAAGAUUGCAAAAUUAUAGUUCAUGCAUCUAUACGUGAGGCAUAGCUGAGAAGACAAGACAGUAGAAGUCUCAUUCUCAGAAACUCAGAGACAACUGAAAUUUUUAUUUUUGAAUGCUCGGUAACUAGCUUAGGAGUCAAUUCUGCAUAUCUGUUGAAGAUGUCAACAACAGGAACAGUCAAAAUUAGAAAUAUGCCAUCUUGAAAUGAAGUAACAAACAUUGGCAAGUAUUUAGAUCUUGUAUAAAACACCACACCCUAUUAAAAUAAAUUACAAACUACACAUACAUAUUGCGUUUCUGGUGACCGUAUUUUCUUUUUCCUACAAAGCAGCUGAAGAGAUGUUAGUAACAUCCCAAAUGAAAAAUAUCUGACUUUGCAUGGCAUUCUCUAUAUCCAGUCAAAAAAAUAAUAACUGAUGUAUCUGGAAAAGGUUUAAAUGGAUUAUUUUACACUACUUAUGGUAAAAUAAUCUUUCUUGGAAAGAACAGACAUCUGGAAUCUGUCCAUUAUAAGCAGCUACUCUGAUCUGCAUUUGGUCUAACGUACACUACUUAAGCAGGUAUAUUCUAAAAAUUCAAUAUUCUGCA